CUGUGCAUCCCCAUCCCCAGGUCUGCCCCACGCCCUGCGACUGAGGGAAGGACAGAGCCGCUGUGACGGCCGCGUGGAGGUCUCCCUGGAUGGCGUGUGGGGCCGCGUCCUGGACGAUGCCUGGGACCUGCACGGCGCGGGCGUGGUGUGCCGGCAACUCGGAUGCGGAGGGGCCCAGCAAGCCUAUGAUGCACCUGCCCCCAGCCGCGGAUCCGUCCAGGUGGCGCUGAGCCGCGUGCGCUGUCUGGGCACCGAAACCCGCCUGACUCAGUGCAACGUGUCCGCGACCCUGCAGGAGCCCGCGGGGACCUCGCGGGACGCUGGCGUGGUGUGCUCCGGGAGCCUCAGGGUGCGGCUGGCCGCGGGGCCGGGGCGCUGUGCGGGGCGCG
rnacentral:lncRNA from 1 species